rnacentral:lncRNA from 12 species
AAGGCCAGGGUUUUGUGAUGGAUCAAAGGAAAGGAUCCAGGAGAGGGGAAGAAAUGGAGGGGUGGGGGGGAGGUAACUGAUGGAGUACUCUCCCUGAGAAGACUAAUGGGGUAGCUGCAGAAAUGUGGUGCAGGGUCUCACCUUAAUUGAAAGGAUGCCCUUUCUUUGUGCAAGAUGGAGAAAAAUAUGUGCAGGGGCAGAUUGCUAUAACAGAAUACCAUACACUGGGUGGAUUAUAAACAACAGAAAUUUAUUUCUUACAAUUCUGGAAGCUGGGAAAUCCAAGAUUGAGGCAUGGUACAUUCAGUGUCUCCUGACAGCAUGCUUUUUGGCUGUUUUCUUGUUGUGUCCUUAGGUGUAGGGGUGGGGAGAGCUCUAAGGGGCAUCUGUUAUAAGGGCACUGAUCCCAGCCACGAUGGCUCUACCCUUGCAACCUAAUCACCUCCCAAAGACCCCACCUCCAAAUACCAUCACACUGGGGAGUAGGUUUCAGCAUAUAAAUUUUGGGGUGAGGGGGCACAAAUAAUCAAUCUAUGUAAGUGAAGUGAUUGAAAACCAAGGGAGUCCUUUUCUGAUUGUUUGUAUUUUCUCACUAAAGUAUGAGCACUGUCAUUUGCUGAGGCUAACUGCACAAGCCUGGAAGUUGGGAUAGGAUGUGGGUCGGGAACUCUGAGGAAUAUGGAGAGGUUUUUGUUUUUUUUGAAAUAGACCAAAUGAAGGAUGAAAAACACCAGAGCUGCAUAAGGAAACAAGAAGUGAUUUCCAGGCUACCUGGAGGGCCCAGAUUUUGUAAAACAACAAAAUGUCCAUUGGGCACUUGAACAUGGACAGAACAAGGAUGAACAGGUGCCUGAUAAGCCACCUUGGAAAGAUUAUGCCUUCGGUGAUGUAUGGAGGCUGUCAUCUUAUGGCUACCAGCAUGUUGACCAUUCCAGAUUGUGUUCAAUAUACUGUUCUUUAUUCUGGUCCAUAAACAGAGAUCUCGUGCUUGGUGGAAAGCUCAGCUCAAGAAGCUUUGAAAUGCAGAUUAGGUUAAUUACACCAGAAUUAUAUUUGAAAAUUGAGAAGAAGCAUUUUCUAAAAGGCAAAUUCCAAAUAUAUGCCUUUUCAAAGGAAGUGUCAUUUGGAAAGAAACUGAAUCACACCAUGAAAUCUGUGGCAUUUCUUUUGGUCUCCACUCUCUUCUAUACUAGUGGUAGGCUCGUGUGAUAUGUAGAAAUGUGCUUAAUCAAAUUUAGCUUGACUUCUCAAGUUAAGAAAUGUAUAUGAAGUAUUUCUGAGAUAAGAAGAGGCACAUUCUUUUUUUAGCAAGCAUACUUCCUAUGCUGCUGCAUUUGCCUGAUUCCCUUAUUUGAAAAUUUGGCUUUGCUUAUAAAAUCUACAAAUUUCUAUUUGUUUAGAACAGGGCUAGAAUAGCCUGGGAUCCUAUGGAGCUGAAUGGUAUUUUAGAGUGCUGAUUCUCAUUUUCUCUUCAAUAAAGAUUGCAAUACGCUAUUUGUAUCUUACA